rnacentral:lncRNA from 1 species
CUUUGAAAAAAUAGAUAAAAAAAAAAAAAAAAAACCCAACGUACAAUAACUAACAAAAAACAACUUAAUGAGUUAAUGCUAUAACUUUACUAUUUAUAACAAAAUUAAAAUAAGGUAGAACAGGAAAUGAAAACAUACAUUUUAAUUGUCUUAUUUAUUUUCAAAACAGUAGUUAAUAUACAUAUAAGCAAAACCACACACUUUAUAAACAACACAUGUCAAUUAAAUAAACAUAAAUUAAUUAAAAAGAGUAGUAGAAACAACAUAAUAAAUAAAAAUAAAAAUAACAAAUUAUAUACAUCAUUCUUUGAUAAAUAUGAUGAAAAUUGUAUAAAGGCUCUUAUUAUGGCUAGGGAGGUAGCCAAAAAUGAUAAUGAAAAAGAAAUCUUAAUAAAACAUUUGUUAGUUGGUAUUAUAAAAAUCGAUUAUAAAUUAAUAGAACAUAUUUCGAAAUAUGUCAACAUAUCAAUAACAAAUUUUUUAAAUAAAUUUAAGUUAGGUACAGAUCGAUUAUCAAAAUUGCAGAAUGUUGAUAGUGUGAAUAGUGAUAGUAGUGGUAGCAAUAGUGGUAGCAAUAGUGGUAGUAGUAGUGGUAGUAGUAGUAGUAGUGGUAGUAGUAGUAGUAGUAGUGAUAGUAGUAAUAGUGAUAGUAGUAAUAGUGGUAGUUGUGGUAACAAUAGUGGUAGCAGCAGUAAUAAUAGUUGCGGUAGCAAUAGUGGCAGCAGCAGUAGUGGUAGUGGUGGUAGCGAUGACGACAGCCAUAACAAUAAUAUACCACCAAACGAUAGCAACAGUAAAAAUUAUACUUUAAAAAACAAUAUGGAUGAAUAUGUAGACGAUGAAACAGAACCAAUAAGUUAUACUGAAAAUACUGGCGACAAUCGAAAUAAAAAACAGUUAUAUAAUAAUAAGUCUCAAAAUAAUGACAACCUAUUAAUUAGCGAUUUUAUUGAUAAACAUAUACGGCAGAUUAAAGAUAAAAUAAUUUUGUUAAAAAAAAUAAACAAGGAGGAACAUGAUAUAGAUUCCAAUACAUUUACUUCUGCUACUGAUGCAGUUGUUGAUAGCUUUGUAAAUGCCAUUACUGAUACACAUGCCAUUAAAAAUGAUGGAAGUAAUAUAGUAACUCCGAAAAGCGACGAUACCGAUGAACAUAAUAGCACUACGAAUAACGAUAAUAAAAACAAAAAUAAAAAAUAUAUUACAAAUGCUUUAAAUUUCCUUAAAAUUUUACAUAACCUAACGAAUAAUAAAAAUGCAAGUGACAAUAAAAAAGAUACUGAAGAAGUAGCUAAAAUAAAUUCUAAUAUAAAAUUUUCUAAUGCUUGUAAGUUAAUACUUAAAAAUGCUGUUUUAGAAGCAAAAAAAAAACAAAAAAUGUUUGUUAAUGUUACGGAUAUAUUAUUAUCACUUAUAGAUAUGGCACAAAAAAAUAUAGAUACUGAUUUUGAAAAAUAUUUAAAUGAAUUGAACAUAAAUAUAAAUGAAUUGAAAAAUCAGUUAUCAAGUUAUGAUGAGGAACAUGGUUUUAGUCCUGCUACACCUUCUACUAAAAUGACCAAUAAAAUUAAUGAUAACAUUAGCAGUUAUACACGUGACAAUAAUACCACUACUUUAGAAAGUAGUGAUUGUCACAGUGCCGUUGACACUAGCGGAUAUCGAAACAAUGACAACCAAAAUCGUGAUAACCAAAAUCGUGAUAACCAAAAUCGUGAUAACCAAAAUCGUGACAACCAAAAUCGUGAUAACCAAAAUCGUGACAACCAAAAUCGUGACAACCAAAAUCGUGACAACCAAAAUCGUGAUAACCAAAAUCGUGACAACCAAAAUCGUGAUAACCAAAAUCGUGACAACCAAAAUCGUGAAAACGACGAAGAUGAACUUGUCAAGGAUGAACUAAACAACCAACCAAUAAACAACACACCGAACGAAAAAAUUAACAACAUCCUAAACAGUCUAAACAGCCUGAACAGCGAAUACUUUAAUGAUAUAAAAGAAUACACAAAUUAUGAAGAGAAUAAUUAUAAUAAUAAUUUAGGUCAAAAUAUUAAUACUAAUAAUAAUAACAAAUUUAUGGGUUCAUCAUUUAUGAAAGAAUGUUUAACAGAUAUGGUAGAAGUAGCAAAAGAAAAAAAAGAUAAUAGUUUUUUUGGAAGAAAAAAAGAAUUAAAAAGAAUCAUUGAAAUAUUAGGUAGAAAAAAAAAAUCGAAUCCGUUAUUAAUAGGAGAAAGUGGAGUAGGUAAAACAGCAAUAAUCGAACAUUUAUCAUUUUUGAUUUCAAAAAAUAAAGUACCACAACAUUUGAAAAAUUAUCGUAUCUACCAGUUGAAUGUUGGUAAUAUUGUAGCUGGUACAAAAUAUAGAGGUGAGUUUGAAGAAAAAAUGAAAUAUUUAUUAUCAAAUAUGAAUAAAAAAAAAAAAAAUAUCUUAUUUAUUGAUGAAAUACAUGUUAUUGUUGGAGCAGGAAGUGGAGAAGGAUCUUUAGAUGCGUCCAACUUAUUAAAACCAUUUCUUUCUGCUGAUAAUUUACAAUGUAUAGGUACAACUACCUUUCAAGAAUAUUUUAAAUAUAUAGAAAAUGAUAAACCUUUAAGGAGAAGAUUUAAUUGUGUUACUAUCAAACCUUUAACACCUGAACAAACAUAUAAACUAUUAAAAAAAAUAAAAUAUAAUUAUGAACAAUAUCAUAAUGUAUUUUAUACAUAUGAUUCAUUAAAAUCUAUAAUUACAUUAACAGAAGAUUAUUUACCAACAGCAAACUUCCCAGAUAAAGCUAUAGACAUAUUAGAUGAAGCAGGAGCUUAUCAAAAAAUAAAACACGAAAGGUACAUUAAGCAUAAAUUAAAAAAUCAGAAUAUCAAUCAGAAUAUCAAUCAGAAUAUCAAUCAGAAUAUCAAUCAGAAUAUCAGUCAUAAUAUCAAUCAGAAUAUGCAAAAUUCUACUGUUAUCAACAAUUGUGGACAAAAUGACAGCAUACAAAUACAACCAAAUAAAGUUUAUAAAAAAAAUGGUGAAAAUGAAUUCACUUCGAAAAAUCGGGACGUAAAUCGGGACAUAAAAAUAGCUACAGUUGGGAAUAUAUUUAACAUGGAUGUAGCAAAUGCAAAAGAUAAACAGGUAAAAGUAAUUACAGAUAAACAAAUUGGUAACUGUGUUGGUGGAAAGGAUGUAGGGGAGCAAAAGGGGCAAUCAGAGGCUAACCAAUCAGAGACUAACCAACCAGAGACUAACCAACCAGAGACUAACCAACCAGAGACUAACCAAUCAGAGACUAACCAAUCAGAGACUAACCAACCUGAGACUAACCAACCUGAGACUAACCAA